UGGGGAAUAUUGGACAAUGGGCGCAAGCCUUAUCCAGCCAUGCCGCGUUAGUGAUGAAGGCCCUAGGGUUGUAAAGCUCUUUCACCGGUGAAGAUAAUGACGGUAACCGGAGAAGAAGCCCCGGCUAACUUCGUUCCAGCAGCCGCGGUAAUACGAAGUGGGCUAGCGUUGUUCGGAUUUACUGGGCGUAAAGCGCACGUAGGCGGACUUUUAAGUCAGGGGUGAAAUCCCGGGGCUCAACCCCGGAACUGCCUUUGAUACUGGAAGUCUUGAGUAUGGUAGAGGUGAGUGGAAUUCCGAGUGUAGAGGUGAAAUUCGUAGAUAUUCGGAGGAACACCAGUGGCGAAGGCGGCUCACUGGACCAUUACUGACGCUGAGGUGCGAAAGCGUGGGGAGCAAACAGG
rnacentral:rRNA from 1 species